UGGGGAAUAUUGCACAAUGGGCGCAAGCCUGAUGCAGCAACGCCGCGUGAACGAUGAAGGUCUUCGGCUCGUAAAGUUCUGUUUCAGGGGAAUAUAAUGACGGUACCCUGUGAGGAAGCCCCGGCUAACUACGUGCCAGCAGCCGCGGUAAUACGUAGGGGGCUAGCGUUAUCCGGAUUUACUGUGCGUAAAGGGUGCGUAGGUGGUCCUUCAAGUCGGUGGUUAAAGGCUACGGCUCAACCGUAGUAAGCCGCCGAAACUGGAGGACUUGAGUGCAGGAGAGGAAAGUGGAAUUCCCAGUGUAGCGGUGAAAUGCGUAGAUAUUGGGAGGAACACCAGUAACGAAGGCGGCUUUCUGGACUGAAACUGACACUGAGGCACGAAAGCGUGGGUAGCAAACAGG
rnacentral:rRNA from 1 species